UACGUAGGGUGCAAGCGUUGUCCGGAAUUAUUGGGCGUAAAGAGCUCGUAGGCGGUCUGUCGCGUCGGAUGUGAAAAUCCAGGGCUCAACCCUGGACCUGCAUUCGAUACGGGCAGACUAGAGUUCGGUAGGGGAGACUGGAAUUCCUGGUGUAGCGGUGAAAUGCGCAGAUAUCAGGAGGAACACCGGUGGCGAAGGCGGGUCUCUGGGCCGAAACUGACGCUGAGGCGCGAAAGCGUGGGGAGCGAACAGG
rnacentral:rRNA from 1 species